GAACGCGAAGAACCUUACCAAGGCUUGACAUGCACGGCGACACUGCAGAGAUGUGGUGGCAUUUAGUUGGUCGUGUGCAGGUGGUGCAUGGUUGUCGUCAGCUCGUGUCGUGAGAUGUUGGGUUAAGUCCCGCAACGAGCGCAACCCUUGCCCUAUGUUGCCAGCACGUAAUGGUGGGGACUCGUGGGGGACUGCCGGGGUUAACUCGGAGGAAGGUGGGGAUGACGUCAAAUCAUCAUGCCCCUUAUGUCUUGGGCUUCACGCAUGCUACAAUGGUUGGUACAGAGGGUUGCGAAAUCGUGAGGUGGAGCGAAUCCCUUAAAGCCAGUCUCAGUUCGGAUUGGGGUCUGCAACUCGACCCCAUGAAGGUGGAGUCGCUAGUAAUCGCAGAUCAGCAACGCUGCGGUGAAUACGUUCUCGGGUCUUGUACACACC
rnacentral:rRNA from 1 species